GAGUUUGAUCUUGGCUCAGAUUGAACGCUGGCGGCAUGCCUUACACAUGCAAGUCGAGCGGCAGCGCGGGGGCAACCCUGGCGGCGAGCGGCGAACGGGUGAGUAAUGCAUCGGAACGUGUCCUCUUGUGGGGGAUAACCAGUCGAAAGACUGGCUAAUACCGCAUGAGAUCGAGAGAUGAAAGCAGGGGACCGCAAGGCCUUGCGCGAGAGGAGCGGCCGAUGCCGGAUUAGCUAGUUGGUGGGGUAAAGGCCUACCAAGGCGACGAUCCGUAGCUGGUCUGAGAGGACGACCAGCCACACUGGGACUGAGACACGGCCCAGACUCCUACGGGAGGCAGCAGUGGGGAAUUUUGGACAAUGGGGGCAACCCUGAUCCAGCCAUGCCGCGUGAGUGAAGAAGGCCUUCGGUUGUAAG
rnacentral:rRNA from 1 species